ensembl:rRNA 5S_rRNA 5S ribosomal RNA
GUCUGGGGCUAUACUGCUCUGAAUGCACCCAAUCUUCUUUGAUCUGGGAAGCUAAGCAGGGUUGGGCCUGGUUAGUACGCGGAUAGACGAAAGCUAGAGCACCCCAGACC